rnacentral:tRNA from 1 species
GGGAGCGUAGUUCAGAUGGCAAGAACGCGCGGCUGUUAACCGCGAAGUCGCUGGUUCAAGUCCAGCCACUCCCGCCA